UACGUAGGGUGCAGGCGUUAAUCGGAAUUACUGGGCGUAAAGCGUGCGCAGGCGGUUUGCUAAGACAGGUGUGAAAUCCCCGGGCUUAACCUGGGAACUGCGCUUGUAACUGGCAAGCUGGAGUGUGGCAGAGGGGGGGUGGAAUUCCACGUGUAGCAGUGAAAUGCGUAGAGAUGUGGAGGAACACCGAUGGCGAAGGCAGCCCCCUGGGUCAAGAUUGACGCUCAUGCACGAAAGCGUGGGGAGCAAACAGG
rnacentral:rRNA from 1 species